rnacentral:rRNA from 1 species
AUGAAGCUGGAAUUGCUAGUAAUGGCAGGUCAGCAUACUGCCGUGAAUACGUUCCCGGGCCUUGUACACACCGCCCGUCACACCAUGAGAGUUGGGAAUACCCGAAGCCUGUGAGCUAACUUUUAGAGGCAGCAGUCGAAGGUAGAAUCAAUGAUUGGGGUGAAGUCGUAACAAGGUAGC